ensembl:lncRNA
CUGGGAAUUACUGGAGCAGCUUUUCAGUGCUCCCUUUUCUCUCUGCGUUGUUCCAUAUGUCUAAAUGACCCUCAGACUGGAGGUGGGCUGAAGUGGACCCUCCUUAGAGGUCCUUGCUUCUUCAGUAGUCAUCUGCACUCCUGAGAAUCUGCUGUAGACAGAUAACAUAUGUUGCAAAGCGUGAGGAAUUUUUAAUAAAAAUAUAAAGAACUUUCUGAAUGAAAGUGAUUACCUAAGUGUGGGAAUGCCAGAGAGAAGAGCGGAAUGGUAGGUGCAGAUGGCACCUCAGCCAGCAGGUCAUCAAGGUGACAACGGGUCUGUGUGAGACUAACCAGAACCUCCUAAAACCGAAGACAGUCUACACAGCGAGCAAAAUGAAGGACAGGCUAAUAAACCAGAGCCCUCAAGAAGUGAUGAAAGGAAGAAAAAAGCAGGCAAGGGGCCAUAAAACACCCAGAUAAGGACAGAAAAGAAAAUACUAAGCCAGGGGUGGAACAGGAUGAGGAAACAAAAGAUCACACUGUCAACUCUUAGGAGAUCCAAGAGCAGCACUUGGCUUCCAGUCCAUGGAGAACCUAGGCGACAUGUUGAGAUGCCUACAGAUGUCCCUUUCCAUCUUCACCACCACAAGUCACCUGGGCCAGAGCACCUGGACCCAUCCAUUUUGGUGUUUGGAAGCAUGAAGGCAAACACAAGCUCAGGAUUGCAGCUCCUCCUGUUAGUGGGUGCCACAGGGCUCCUUCCUCCCAGGCUCUGGGAUCACAUCUUCUCUCCAAGGAGAGCAAUGCAAAACAUCAACAUAUGAAACCUUCCAAGUGAGGAAACUCCAGACAGCACAGAAACUCCAUGAACGCAGACAGCCCCAGCUCAUCACACCUGCCAUUUUCUCCCGUCCCUGGAAUAUGGGACCCAACGGCUUGGCUCAAGUUUCAUCUUACAUAACUGCCACUCACAGGGUCCUUCUGAGAUUUUCCUGUGGGCUGUUUAGAGACUUGCAAAGAUGCUCCGUGGCCCAGCAUAUCUUAGCUGUUAUAGACUUAAUUCCAGAGCUUUGUUCCUCAGGCACAACGCAACCUUUUUCUUUGUACAGCAGAGGUCAUGUAUGCUGAGACAGAGCUUCCCUAGAUUCUGUUGCAAGAAUAAUGAGUGUUUCUCUGCAAAACCUGGGAAAAAAAAAAAAAAAAAAAAAAGAAGAAGAAGAAAAAAAAAAGAAGGAUUUCCAUGAUCCCCAUCAUCAUCUCAGUGCAAAAGGCCAACGCUCUCCGGUACAAACAAAAACAAUAAUAAUAGCAAACAAACCACUCUAUCAAACCACAGUACUCCUCUCCACUCUUAAUUCUUCCUUGGGAAAAGAUGGAGAGAAAACAAAUUAGCUUCCUGAGGGUUACCACUGCUUAAAAGGAUCUGUUGAUGAAAUCAGUAAAAGAACAUACUGAGCUUGCUCUGAAUAGGCAAGGGCUGUAGAAGAGCCUCAAGGAAAAUUCGGGCGCAGUCCGACAUUGAAGAAGUUGGGUCUAUUUCUAGUUAUCUCAGUAUUGACGUAGCUCAACCAUUGUGAGGAACAGGAAAUUCAUAAAGACUGGGUUAGUCUUUUUGGCAAGAGGCUGGCAUCUGCCAUGGGACAUUAAUCCAUUCUAAGCUGCAGUAAGCUGAGCUGCUGGGCGAGUGAUGAGCUCACCAAUGUUGGUAAAAAUGAAUUUGAAAGUCUAACUGGUUAUCACUGGAUAUCACAGAUGGAGAAUAAUUACUUGACAGAUUGGCAAACUGAGAUUAUCUGCAAAUAUUAUGAGAGACAUUGGAAGCUCU